CCAGGGGUCCUCUAAAGUCCAAGGUGCUGUCUGGAUGUUAGGCUGGGGGCAGUGACCUGGUGUGAAGGUUGCAGGUGGGCCUCUAUUUAGAUGGAACCCAAGAGCGGAAGAGGGUUCUGCUGCUGAGAAAACGUUUGGUGAACUUCACUACCCACUCCUGAUUCACUGAACAUGGUCACGGAUAUUCCUUUCAUGGGAUAAAGAAAAUAGUGGCAGACUCGGCAAGGUGGAUAUGACACCAGGAGUUGUGGCAGUCAUGUUGUAACACUGAGGCAGAACACAUGAAAAAGAGGCAAAGUCCUUAUGGAGACAGGGCUUGACAUGGCUGAGCUGUUGAACCUAGGCCAGCAGCUGUCAACUCACAGGCCUCUUGUAAUCUGAGCCAGCUACCUGCUAAAGGAGGGUGGAGAGCCAGGAUCAGAGCUGGAGGAACUGCGAUCUGAAAUGUUUGACAGCCUCGGGCUGGGGCAGCCUUUGGGGCUACUUCACAGACAGCCAAG